CGGCUCACUGCAACGUCUACCUCCUGGGUUCAAGCAAUUCUCCUGCCUCAGCCUCCCGAGUAGCUGGGAUUACAGGCGCCUGCCACCACGCCCGGGUAAUUUUUGUAUUUUGAGGAGACACGGGGUUUCACCAUGUUGGCCAGACUAGUCUAUAACUCUUGACCUCAGGUGAUCCACCCACCUCGGCCUCCCAAAGUACUGGGAUUACAGGCGUGAGCCACCACGCUUGGCCUCUGAUUUCUUCAAUAGUGUUUAAAAAAUAAUGGGUUUUUUUCAUUGUCCUAAACCAUCUAAAGUACUCAUAGAAUAUUAAAUAUGUAACAUCCUAAGAUAUUUGUAGCUAUGUCUACCUAUCUGUGUGUUUUGACUUGGGAUAAGUAUUAACAUUGGUUUCUGUGCAUUUCAGAUGACCACCUAAGAAAGGAGGAACAGAAAAGUACUAACAUUGAAGAUCUUCAUGUUUCUCAGGCAGUCAACAGAUAAUGCUUUGUUUGGGGUAUCUUUUGUCUUAAAAUUGUAUUAUUAAUUAAAUAACUUAUUUAUUGUCCCAAUGUUACCAAAAUGCACCACUAAUGUUUGUAGAAAUUGGAGUUUCUACAAAACACCCCUCAUGUUUAACUACAUUUGUGAAUAAAAGCUAACUCUUGUCAUCUAGCUUAUUGGAUUUGACUUGAAAAAAAAAGUAUUGUUUUUACGAAGUAUUUUUUGUUUUUUUGAGAUGGAGUCUCGCUCUGUCACCCAGACUGGAGUGCAGUGGCACGAUCUCGGCUCACUGCAAUCUCUGCCUCCCGGAUUCAAGUGAUUCUCCUGCCUCAGCCUCCCAAGUAGCUGGGAAAACAGGCCUGUGCCACCACACCGGAGUAGUUUUUGUAUUUUUAGUAGAGAUGGGGUUUCACCAUGCUGGCCAGGCUGGUCUUGAACUCCUGACCUCAGGUGAUCUGUGUGCCCCAGCCUCCCAAAGCGCUGGGAUUACAGGUGUGAGCCACUGAGCCCAGCCAUUUAGGAAGUAUUAUAAAGGCCCUUAAAGUUUGUAAGGAAAUGAAAGGGCUUUGUAUUACCUUUUCAAUAGGCAACAAUGUACUUUUUCUUUCCUUAGACUUUGGCUUACUGGAAGAUUUAAUUAAAAGGUAGAGGAGAAGUAAAUUUGCUGUAAUAAUUUUGCUGUAAAUAAAACAAAGAGUUUAUUUUAUUAGAUAAAGAAUGUGAAGUAAGCAUGAAGAGACAGGCUUUGGGAGAAAUACCAGAAAGGGAUUUUUCAAAGAUGGCAUUGUUUAAUCUCCGUGUGGCCCUCGGUUGUGCAAUCACAGAUGAGCCAGAAGAGGGCCAGCCCCCUACUUGUUUGGGCUCCGAAACUCUUACCAAACAUCAAUUUUUAUUCUUGGGAUAGAAAAAUAGUAUGUGCUAUCUCUAAUACGCUACUUCGAUAUUUAUUAAAGAAGUAUUUUUAAUGUAGUGUCCACAGGCUCAUUUCAUUGAAAACAACUGACUAUGAUGAUAGACAGCUCCUGAUUGGCAAAAGUUCGAUGGUAUAUUCAGAAUUAAAUUUUGCCUGCACACCUAAACACUGACAACAUUUAGCUUAAAGGUUUUCCAUGGAGAAGAGUGGUAAGAGCUGUAGUUAGCAAAAUUGGCAUCCUCUUUAGGGUGUCAAUUCUGUGCUGCUUUGCAAAUUGUUGAAACUUUUGAUUUUCUGUUUGGCAAUGCUAGUCAGUGUUCACUUCUUACAGAUUAGCCAAGAAUUUUUAUCUAAAUGCAGAAACUUAUUAAUGAAAUCCAUUUAAACUAUACUUACACAACAUUUUGGGAGGCCCUGCUGGUAAAAUUAUAUAUGGAUGCAGAAGUAUUGCAAGAGUCCAUUUUCCAUUUUUAAAUCUGCAAUAUCUGAUUACAUUGAUGAAUUCCGUUGUAUUGUAUGUGUGAAUAUAAAUAUCUGAAUUCUCCCGGGGGACUUGGUUUUCGUCCAAGGAUGUUGGCAGUGGACACUUAGUUUACCUCAGGAAUUGCAAUCAUGUAAGACUAUAUUCGGAAAAAAUGCUGGAGUAUAUAAUUUUGGAUACUGAUAUAAAAUCAUCAAGAUGGAAGUUAAGCAGAAUUGUCACGUGUAGUCCAUAGCGCUUUUAUAUGCAUUAUUCUGUAAUUUGUUUGUACUGCGGCAACUUUUUAUACUUUCAAUGUAUCAUUUAAUAAAAAAAAUAAGCAAGUCA
rnacentral:lncRNA from 1 species